rnacentral:rRNA from 1 species
CCUACGGGUGGCAGCAGUGAGGAAUAUUGGUCAAUGGACGAGAGUCUGAACCAGCCAAGUAGCGUGAAGGAUGACUGCCCUAUGGGUUGUAAACUUCUUUUAUCUGGGAAUAAAAUGUUCCACGUGUGGGAGUUUGUAUGUACCAUAUGAAUAAGGAUCGGCUAACUCCGGGCCAGCAGCCGCGGUAAUACGGAGGAUCCGAGGGUUUUCCGGAUUUAUUUGGUUUAAAGGGAGCGUAGGUGGAUUGUUAAGUCAGUUGUGAAAGUGUGCGGGUCAACCGUAAAAUUGCAGUUGAAACUGGCAGUCUUGAGUACAGUAGAGGUGGGCGGAAUGCGUGGUGUAGCGGUGAAAUGCUUAGAUAUCACGAAGAACUCCGAGUGCGAAGGCAGCUCACUGGACUGCAACUGACACUGAGGCUCGAAAGUGUGGGUAUCGAACAGGAUUAGAUACCCUUGUAGUC